GCCAUAACUUCCCUAAUCAUGGUCUUCUUUUCCCAAGAAAACAUUUUUGCAUAAAUGUUAGAAAGCAUUACGUAAUUAGAUUCAUGCAUAGGCUCAUAUUUUAUCAGCUCUUUUGUUAUUUUUUCACCAAUCGUCAGCUCACCAUGAGCACGGCAAGCAGUAAUAAGUGUUCUCCAAAUUACCGGAUUUGGCUUAAUCGGCAUUCUCUUAACAAAAUCCAAUGCUUCUUGCACAUGUCCAGCUCUACAUAACAGAUCAACCAUGCAUCCG
rnacentral:misc_RNA from 1 species